UACAGAGGUCUCAAGCGUUGUUCGGAAUCACUGGGCGUAAAGGGUGCGUAGGUGGCGUGGUAAGUCAGAUGUGAAAGCCCGGGGCUCAACCUCGGAAUUGCAUCCGAUACUGCCGUGCUAGAGUACUGAAGGGGUGACUAGAAUUCUCGGUGUAGCAGUGAAAUGCGUAGAUAUCGAGAGGAAUACCAACGGCGAAGGCAGGUCACUGGGCAGUUACUGACACUGAGCACGAAGGCCAGGGGAGCAAACGGG
rnacentral:rRNA from 1 species